UACGGAGGAUCCAAGCGUUAUCCGGAAUCAUUGGGUUUAAAGGGUCCGUAGGCGGUUUAGUAAGUCAGUGGUGAAAGCCCAUCGCUCAACGGUGGAACGGCCAUUGAUACUGCUAAACUUGAAUUAUUGUGAAGUAACUAGAAUAUGUAGUGUAGCGGUGAAAUGCUUAGAGAUUACAUGGAAUACCAAUUGCGAAGGCAGGUUACUAACAAUAUAUUGACGCUGAUGGACGAAGGCGUGGGUAGCGAACAGG
rnacentral:rRNA from 1 species